UUCUGGUUGAUCCUGCCGGAGGUCACUGCUAUUGGGAUUCGACUAAGCCAUGCGAGUCGAGAGGGUUCGGCCCUCGGCAGACGGCUCAGUAACACGUGGAUAAUCUGCCCUUAGGUGGAGGAUAAUCUCGGGAAACUGAGGAUAAUACUCCAUAGAUCUAGGAUGCUGGAAUGCACUUAGAUUAAAAGUCUUGGCGCCUAAGGAUGAGUCUGCGGACUAUCAGGUAGUAGUCAGGGUAAAGGCCUGACUAGCCUACGACGGAUACGGGUUGUGAGAGCAAUAACCCGGAGACGAUAUCUGAGACACGAUAUCGGGCCCUACGGGGCGCAGCAGGCGCGAAAACUUCACACUGUGCGAAAGCACGAUGAGGGAAUCCCAAGUGCUUGCUCGUAAGAGUAAGCUGUUUUUAUGUCUAAAAAGCAUAGAGAGUAAGGGCUGGGUAAGACGGGUGCCAGCCGCCGCGGUAA
rnacentral:rRNA from 1 species